GGGGCUGUACUGGUUUCGACAUGGGUUCGGACGCGUGGCAGGGCAUGUCGAGGUUCUGAUCCUCGUAAAACAGCAGAAAACAAACUAACUGCAAACGACGAACGUUUCGCACUCGCCGCUUAAUCCGGUGAGCCUUGCAACAGUUGGCCGAUAGGCUGGGUUAGGGUGCCGCAAGGUGUCCUAGCUGCAAGGGAACUCAUAUUGGCUGGCACCACAUCGGGCACCUUGAUGUGGCGUGAGAUCUAAGGAUGCUGGUUUGGUACAUAGCGUGUCGCUGCGCGAUGUAUCAGGCGAGACUCAAAUCAGACGACUACACAUGUAGAACUGUACGAAAAAGGCUUGUGGACGCGGGUUCAAAUCCCGCCAGCUCCACCA
rnacentral:tmRNA from 1 species